rnacentral:rRNA from 1 species
GAGAGUGGCGAACGGGUGAGUAACACGUAGCUAACCUGCCUUCAAGACGGGGAUAACAAUUGGAAACAGUUGCUAAUACCCGAUAAGCUCCCGGUAUGUAGAGGAUUGGGAGAAAAGCUUUAGCGCUUGAAGACGGGGCUGCGAGCCAUCAGCUAGUUGGUGUGGUAAAAGCGCACCAAGGCGACGACGGCUAGGGGACCUGAGAGGGUGACCCCCCACACUGGAACUGAGACACGGUCCAGACUUCUACGGAAGGCAGCAGUGAGGAAUAUUGCACAAUGGGCGCAAGCCUGAUGCAGCGACGCCGCGUGGGUGAAGACGGUUUUCGGACUGUAAAGCCCUUUUCUAGGUGACGAGAGUGGACGGUAGCCUAGGAAUAAGUCUCGGCUAACUACGUGCCAGCAGCCGCGGUAAAACGUAGGAGGCGAGCGUUAUCCGGAGUUACUGGGCGUAAAGCGCGUGCAGGUGGAUAGAUAAGUUACUCAUGAAAGCUCCCGGCUAAACUGGGAGAGGUUGAGUGAUACUGUUUAUCUAGAGUGGAUGAGAGGUAAGUAGAAUUCCUUGUGUAGUGGUGAAAUGCGUAGAUAUAAGGAAGAAUACCAGUGGCGAAGGCGACUUACUGGCAUCCAACUGACACUCAGACGCGAAAGCAUGGGUAGCGAACGGGAUUAGAAACCCCGGUAGUCCAUGCCGUAAACGA